UUACCUGGGAACAUGUUAGAAAUGCAAAUUCUUAGGCUUUGUCCCAGACCUACUGAAUUAGAAACUCUGGAGCUGAAUAUCAGUAUUCUGUGUUUUACCAGUUUUCCAGGUGGUUCUGCUACACGUCUGAGUUUGAGGAACACUAUUCUACAGGUUACCAAGCCUUUAACUCCUUGUGUAUCUUCAUAGUCCCUAUGUUCUACUGCAUGAAUUAUCAAGGUCGCAAGGACCCACUCCAACCAGGCUCACACAUCUGUUUUUCCAGCAGGUACAGGCUAUGUUAUCCCAAGGUUUUGAAGACAGAAGAGAUGGAAGCAGAGGGAACACCCAUGGCAUGGCAUCAGUAAUCAGCCUUGGACUCUUCUCUCAAAUCUAACUGCUCCUGCAACUCUUCCAAGUGCCCAUCUUACCUGGAUGAGUGCAGACCAAUGGAUAACACAGAUGAAAGCCAUGUUACCACAACACUUGAUAUUUCAAAUAGGACUCUUCUUCUGGCCUAUGAGCUAGCUUUGUAGACGCUGCCUCACUGAUCAUUACAGCACAUUUGAGGAAGGAGGGAGUGGCCUCCGCCCUCAUGUAAUGGAUGGGGUAGCAACUGCUUAAGGCCAGUACCUGAUGUGGCUGAAAACAAAGCCAUAUGCCCCAAACUCUCAGAUCACGGCACCAGCCACCACUUCUGGAAUUAAGUGUGUCUCUUUGCGGGUAGCUACCAGUAAAGAGAGCUGAUUACCAAGGUCGGCAGAUGUGGAAGCAGAUGAGAGUAAGAUGCUACUCACUGUUACCCAAAGCAGCCAAAGGCACUCCUCAUUUGUUACUGAAACAUUUAUUAUAACAGGGCUUCUAGAAGGGGCAAUGGAAGGAAAGGGGAAAACAUGGAAGAUGAGUCAGAUAUGAACAUGCCACUCAAAAAUUUACAUGCAUUCAUUCAGCAUUCAUUCAACAAUUAGAAGCCUCCCAGGUGCCAGUCACACCAUGGGGGACAUAAAUGCAAAUCAGACAUUGCCUUCAAGAAGAUGACCCUAAUGGCCUGAUCAGAUACUUUGAACUUAUAUAGCAAUACAUAUUAAAUACAAGUUAUGCCCAGGUUGUUAGGGACGUGUAAAAGAACACUGGUGUCAGCUUAAAUAAGUCAGGGGAGGCUCCUCAAAGUACUUGUGCCUUGUGCUGAGACCUGCAAGAUAAAUAGUGAUUAAUUAGCAGAGGGGUGUGCAAGGAGAAGGAUGAGUUCCUGAGGGGUUGCUGUGCAAAACUGGAAGUUUUAACUUUAACAAGUGGCUCUGCUGGUUGAGGCCUGGGGUGUAGAUGGAGGAAAGAAAAACAAAAUGGAGUCCUUCAUGCUUCAAGGUCAGGUGUUUGGACUGCAAAGACUUUGGGGACCUAUGAGGAUUAUAAGGACAUUCUGGAGGACCGACGUAAUAGGUAGCACAUGGGCCAGUAUGGGAUGUAGCAGCCAACACUUUCGCUGUAUGGUGCCUGGGUAUUCAAAGCAUGGUUAUCUGGUCCCAUGAAGGCUGGGGAUGAUGGAAGCCCCAGGAAAGAGGGGCAGAAGUUCAGGAGACAGAGGUUAACUCCUCUGCUCUCUGCUCUGACCUCCAUGCCUUCCUUAGCUAGACCAGACUAGAACUUCUGGGGUUAACACAAAGCAACACUCUAGGAUAACAGUGCAGUAGUUGACCAAGCAUCUCCCCCAUUUUCUAUCCUGAAAGGGAUAUGAGGCAUUCAAAGAACUCAGCUUCCUGCCCAGGACUUUGGAACAUCUUGUUGCAUUAUGAGCACAGCGUUGGCACACAUGUUCUCCAUGCUUGUCACCACUGCGCACCAAGACAGGGCAGGAUACGUGUGGUGAGUACCUUCGUGCCUGUGUGUACACCUGCAUCAUGAGAUAUAACCAUGAACUUGUGUGACUAAACACCCUAUUUAUAUAGAAGGGUUUGUAUAAUGUUUUAUAUACUUUUCAGACAUGUUGCCCCAAGGAUUAUCUCAUUUCAAUCUUUACAACAUGCCCGGGAGUAUGCAAGACAUGUCUGCUGAUGACUAGAGAAUAUGAAACUUGGAGAGUUCAAAGACCCACCUGGGUUAAAAUAGAAAAUGUGAUAAAGAGCCAGACUCUACACAAGGCUUCUUGGCUCCUUCCCUAUCCAGACAUAACCUCAGACCCCCUAAUGAGGCUGAGCAAGUCUGAAAAGUUGGGUGAUGGAUAAGAUCACUGGUGGACCCAAAACAGGUAAGAUCCCUGAGAAAGGCAGAGUAGCAUCCCUCCCCCCUUAGUCCAUGAUGUGUCCCAGCAAGUUCUUGGGUGUGUCAAUGACUGAACAGAGUUAGAAAAUCCUCAAAGGUAGCCUACAGAUAGGAUCAGAACCAUGUCUUGUCUACUUUCAAACUCCUUUCCUAUCUUGGUGGAAACAGGAAGUCAGUUCUGCCUGAAGACCCCCGACCCAGCGUUUCUAGUGCCUAAGAUUCAGGCCCACGUGUGCGUCCAGGAGGAAAAACAGGAAUAUCUCUUUUGAUUGCACUUUGCAGAUACUUCAUUUUUUACAUAUUGAAGGGUUUUGGCAAUUUUGCAUUGAGCAAGUCUAUCAGCACCAUUUUCCAACAGCAUUUGCUCAUUUCAUGUCUCUGUGUCACGUUUUG